CGGGGAUAGCAAUAUCCUAGUGGCGAACGGGUGAGUAACGCGUGAGCAACCUGCCUUGUACAACGGGAUACCCGAGGGAAACUUCGGUUAAUACGGUAUAAGACCACACUACCGCAUGGUAGAGGGGUAAAAGGAGAAAUCCGGUAUAAGAUGGGCUCGCGUCGCAUUAGCUAGUUGGUAAGGUAACGGCUUACCAAGGCGACGAUGCGUAGGGGUUCUGAGAGGAAGGUCCCCCACACUGGUACUGAGACACGGACCAGACUCCUACGGGAGGCAGCAG
rnacentral:rRNA from 1 species